rnacentral:sRNA from 1 species
ACCCCCGGUAUUAUUGAUGUUAUGGGUUGCGACCGAGCUUAGCCUUGUUCAUUUUUUUACACAACACCCCCGUAAAAAAUAAAAUACGGCUCUGUUGUGUGAAACCUCGGGCGACGAAAGCAGGCCUUGUCGCUGCCCUCAAUUGCAGCAAAAAUGCCGCAAUGGCGCCCUUUUAGGGCAU